AUUGCUUCCCAGCCUUUUGGCUAAGAUCAAGUGUAGUAUCUGUUCUUAUCAGUUUAACAUCUGAUGCAUCCUCUGUCUGAGGACAUUAUAUGAAAUGUUUUUUGGAACAGGGAGAUGGAAUAGGAGCUUGCCACAUCCACUCCAUACAUUGACCCGGUAUCGCAGUACCUCUAGGAACAGUGCAGAGGGA